CCCAGUUACUGCCACCCUCUCCCAGGUCUAGAGAGGGGUACCCACGGUGGAGGGAGGUGGGAGGCCGAGACGGCCCCGGGGGUCGGCGGAGACCCAGCGGGAGCAGGGGGAAAUCGGAAGAGCUGGGGGCAUGGAGCGGGCGAGUUUGGAGCGGAAUGAGCCGGGAGCCCUACGUUGUGGAAGGAAGACAACAGUAUAGGACCAUCAGCAGGACCGGACAGAGAGGGGCACGGUUUCUCUGUAUAGCCCUGGCUGUCCUGGAACUUGUAGACCAGGCUGGCCUUGAACUCAGAAAUCCGCCUGCCUCUGACUCCCGAGUGCUGAGAUUAAAGGUGUGCACCACCACACCCGACAAGGAAGCCUGUUUUAAGAAGUGAUUCCAUGGAGGAGUUCUGCGGCGGCUCAGGGCUUGACUAAACAGUGGACCUCAGACAAGAGAGGCUAAACCAGGCUGCAGGUGACAGGAAGAAUUGAAUAAACUGAAAGCAAAGGGCAGCCUUCUAAUUACGCUUCGUGGCUAUGUGGACAACCUGGAGAAGUCUGGAAACAAAGAAGCCAGAAGCCCGAAGCCAGCAGUAGAGCUCUGACUGGCUUGUAUGCCUAGAAAGGAAGGGCUCUUCUUUCGCCUCACGGGCACAAAUGGGACCCACGAGCGCCGAUUUCAGACUAUUCUGAUCCCUUCAAAAAGAAAGUUAGGAGUCCAGGCUACUGUGAGUGAAUUUGAUUCUAAUUGUUUCAGAGAAUAUGGAAUAAAAUAUCUCAUUUGCAGUUGUUUA
rnacentral:lncRNA from 1 species